GUACCUUCCGGCCGUUUAAAAUAUUGAGCUCAACGGCUUCCUUCCCCCAAAUAAAUACGAAACCCCUCACCACCUUCAACCCCACCUCUCCCUCGGUCUCUCGGCCGGGCCGCCACCCCUCGCCGUAGAGUUAAUUACGGUAUUGUGCCCGCCGGACGGGACCCGUAGCUUGCUGCCACCGCCGGGGAGCGCCGUUUAUCGAUCUCGCGAGUUGCGUCCUUCGUCGGAAACCCCCCCGCGGCGUCUCCGGCCUCUUUCUUGGAGGCGAAUCUGAAUAGCCGGACUUCAACUUGCCUAGCGGUUUGAUGAUGUCCAGUUUUAUAAAGAAAAGGCAGAGCACAGACUUCUAGCCAUGUCAGCUGAAAAGAAUGAUGGAAGCUGCCUCAAUUGACUUAUCUUAUUCCAUGAUUGACCAUGAUCCAGUGGAAGAAUAUGAUGAUUGGGUGGUUGUUAAUAAACAAAGAAUCACCAUUCUAGUUCCUCCUCUAUCACCCGAACAGCCUCAAACUGAAAUGCCAGAAAGUAAUCAUACCCAAACCAAGUCAAGGAGCAACAUUAGGAGAAGCUUAAAUAUUCAAAAGAAAAACUGUUGGAAGCGGUCCAAAGAUAGACCCAAGAAAUCAGCUGUGACCCGACCCCUAUUGAGACCGAGGUUCCAGCUGAUGGUGAGUACAAUAAAGCUGCUGGAACACCUUCUGAGAAGAGAAUUCAGAAUGCUGGUGUCGGAAUAAAACCUCAAAAAACUGUUAACAACCUUGUUGCUCUGCUUGAAAAUCGAAGCCUGGUUAAUGGUUCUGCUGAUGUUUCUGGAAACUCAUUAUUGCAACAGGUAUCUUUAAUUCAUUUUCCCAGUGAUGGACAUGCUGCAGUCCCCAACAGAACAAGAACAAUUAGACCCUCAGGAACAAUUGGAGGUGCCCCAAGGCUGCCCGUUGGUGCAUUAAAUGUUGUGAAUCAGCGAAUGCGAGCAUCGAACCUUGAGAGGGAGCCAAAGGCUUUGGUUGACUGAGGAAUUGGCUGGUGUCUCAGGGUCUUGAUUGAUUCACAAAAAAAUUUUGAGAGGGAAAAGCUAGGUGUGUAUCAGUUGGUUGAUCUCAGAAUGAGCAAGCUCAAAGACAUGGGAGCCCAUGCAGUUGGGCAAAGAAGGAAGCUGAUUCAUGCUCUUGACCGUCUCUGCUAGCCUCACUAUUUCAAGGCCUUGCAAUGAUACAUAAUGGGUUAGGAAAGUAAUUAUUCACCAUCUCUUUUCAAUUUGAUUUUGACAUUGUUCAAAAACAAAGCUUGAUAAUUUGAGGUUCCAAGAUCAAGGAAUUUAGCCCGUGCUUUAUAAUGACUCAAUAUCAGUUCAUAAGCUUCUUAAAGGCAGCAAAAAGCAUGACAGCGUUGUAAAAAGGAUCCUCUUGAUGGACCUUGAGCCACCGGUUAUCUGGAAGAGCUUCGGUGUGAUCCUUGAACUCUUUUUCUGAUGUUAAACUCCUUUGUUAUAAUGUUAUAAUGCUUGUCAUUUUCAGAUCUUGCACUGAUAAAUCAGAAAAACUGACAGAUUCUUGUGAAUCACAACUUUUAGUGAUUGAUGGUAAUAGAAUUCUAUACUUUAAACUGCAAUGUUCUUUUAA